AUUGAACGCUGGCGGCGUGCUUAACACAUGCAAGUCGAUCGGUAACGCGGGGGCAACCCUGGCGACGAGAGGCGGACGGGUGAGGAACGCUUGGGAAUCUGCCCUUCAGCGGGGGACAACACGGGGAAACUCGUGCUAAUACCGCAUACGCUCCACGGAGGAAAGCCGGGGACCGCAAGGCCUGGCACUGAAGGAUGAGCCCAAGUCGGAUUAGCUAGUUGGCGGGGUAACGGCCCACCAAGGCGACGAUCCGUAGCUGGUCUGAGAGGACGAUCAGCCACACUGGGACUGAGACACGGCCCAGACUCCUACGGGAGGCAGCAGUGGGGAAUAUUGGACAAUGGGGGAAACCCUGAUCCAGCGACGCCGCGUGGGUGAAGAAGGCCUGCGGGUUGUAAAGCCCUUUCGGUAGGGACGAAAGCUCUCGACCUAACACGUCGGGAGGUUGACUUAACCUACAGAAGAAGCACCGGCUAACUCUGUGCCAGCCGCCGCGGUAACAC
rnacentral:rRNA from 1 species